rnacentral:rRNA from 1 species
CCUACGGGAGGCUGCAGUGAGGAAUAUUGGUCAAUGGACGUAAGCCUGAACCAGCCAAGUCGCGUGAGGGAUGAAGGUUCUAUGGAUCGUAAACCUCUUUUAUAAGGGAGUAAAGUGUGGGACGUGUCCUAUUUUGUAAGUACCGUAUGAAUAAGGAUCGGCUAACUCCGUGCCAGCAGCCGCGGUAAUACGGAGGAUCCGAGCGUUAUCCGGAUUUAUUGGGUUUAAAGGGUGCGUAGGCGGCCGGUUAAGUCAGCGGUGAAAGCCUGGGGCUCAACUACGGAAUUGCCGUUGAAACUGGGCGGCUAGAGUAUGUUUGCGGCAGGCGGAAUGUGUGGUGUAGCGGUGAAAUGCUUAGAUAUCAUACAGAACCCCGAUUGCGAAGGCAGCCUGCCAAGCCAUUUCUGACGCUGAUGCACGAAAGCGUGGGGAUCAAACAGGAUUAGAUACCCUGGUAGUC